rnacentral:tRNA from 1 species
GCGGACGUGUCUCAGCGGUAGAGCCUUGCCAAGGCGAGGGUCGCGGGUUGGAUUCUCGUCGUCCGCU